GGGGAUGUAAUGGUUUCGACAUAUGCAGGUAUUUGUAAGUGGCAGUAGUGUGGUUCACUUUAAAAACUACUAGGUUUUAAUAAACGGAAAAUCUGAAAAAGUUUCAUCAUCAAUGAUGGUACAAAACCAAACCUUUGCUUACGCAUUUUAAUUAGCGACAAAGUCAUCAUCCAAAACUCCUUUAUUGGAAUGAUGGGUCUAAAGGAUAGUGCAUAAUGUGGCUCCUUAUGCAUGAAGAUUGCCAAAGUAAUAAAUUAGAUUUUGUUUGUUUUUAGAUUUAUUUACUUAUUGAAAAUAAACUAAACUGUAGAAGCUUAUUCUUAUUUGUGUGUGGACACGGGUUCGACUCCCGUCAUCUCCACCA
rnacentral:tmRNA from 1 species